UACUCCUACGGGAGGCAGCAGUGGGGAAUUUUGCGCAAUGGGCGAAAGCCUGACGCAGCAACGCCGCGUGAGUGAUGAAGGCCCUCGGGUCGUAAAGCUCUGUCAGAGGGGAAGAAACUUUUGAGGGAGAAUAUCCCUUGAAACCGACGGUACCCUCAAAGGAAGCACCGGCUAACUCCGUGCCAGCAGCCGCGGUAAUA
rnacentral:rRNA from 1 species